AAAACAAAACAAUAAACAAAACCACAUGUGCGGGAGGAAAGGCAGAAGCGUGCAAUACAUCACAAUAUAAUGUAUUUAUUAACUUGGUUGACGUAAAACCUUGGUGCUACUGGAAUUCUCUUUUUCUUUUCAUUAUUGCAGUGUUUUUUCAAGGUCUCCGAGCACGUCCCAGAUUAUAGGACAUUUGGUCCAUUAUGCUAUCAUCUGAAAUAAUUGAAUCAGCACUACUAAUCUCGUUAAAGUAGCGGUUCCCAGAAUGCAAUGGAUUUCGAGCUAUCUUGUUG